rnacentral:rRNA from 1 species
UACGUAGGGACCGAGCGUUGUCCGGAAUCAUUGGGCGUAAAGAGCGUGUAGGCGGCUGACCAAGUCCUGCGUGAAAUCUUGCGGCUCAACCGCAAGCGGUCGUGGGAAACUGGUCGGCUAGAGUGCGGGAGAGGAGAGUGGAAUUCCUGGUGUAGCGGUGAAAUGCGCAGAUAUCGGGAGGAACACCGGUGGCGAAGGCGGUUCUCUGGGCCUUACCUGACGCUGAGGAGCGAAAGCGUGGGGAGCGAACGGG